rnacentral:lncRNA from 1 species
UCUCACCCAUCCCUUAAUUAAUUCUAAGGGUGGUAGAAUUGAAGGCGACGAUAUGGCAGCAGGUGGAGAAGGAGACUUCUUGCCACAAAAGGUGGAGUGAAGAUCUCUUUGCUCCCUGACUUCCUAUUUAUAAGCGCUAGCAGCCAUAUCAAUCAUCAAUUGACGCUUCCCAAGAAUUAAUAACCAAAUAGUUAAUGACGCACCUUUUUCAGAGUGAGAAUAAAUUCCUACGAUACUUUGCAAAAUAAAACAUGCCCACAUGGUGCAUCUUCAUAGAUUCUGUGCCAUCUACCAAGCGUGGCC